rfam:Ascaris lumbricoides genome assembly, scaffold: ALTE_contig0000075
CAGCACGUCAAAGUGGUGGUGAUGUGUUGGGGAUAAGCUCAUAUCACAGCCAGCUUUGAUGUGCUGUG